GAUGAAGAACGUAGCGAAAUGCGAUAAGUAGUGUGAAUUGCAGAAUUCAGUGAAUCAUCGAAUCUUUGAACGCACAUUGCGCCCCUUGGUAUCCCGAGGGGCAUGCCUGUUCGAGCGUCAUUUCACCACUCAAGCCUGGCUUGGUGUUGGGCGACGUCCCCUUUGGGGACGCGCCUCGAAACGCUCGGCGGCGUGGCACCGGCUUUAAGCGUAGCAGAAUCUUUCGCUUUGGAAGUCGGGGCCCCGUCUGCCGGAAGACCUACUCGCAAGGUUGACCUCGGAUCAGGCAGGGAUACCCGCUGAACUUAAGCAUAUCAAUAAGAGGAGGA
rnacentral:misc_RNA from 1 species